GGCGGCUUAGCCAAGUGGUAAGGCAGGAGUCUGCAAAACUCCGAUUCUCCGGUUCGAAUCCGGAAGCCGCCU
rnacentral:tRNA from 1 species